ACAACUACCCUUCUUUCCCUGUUAACAGAGAAGAUCUUGAUGCAGGGUACAGAUGGUGUUGUUUUAGGAGGCCCGAGGAGGACCUUUGCCCACCUCAUCAGUUGUCUGGCCUUCUAGUUCCAGAGCCUCAUACCUGUUGUAGAAGGUGCAAGUCCUACCUGUCAAAUUCUGAGAAGAAAGAGGAAUCUUUCUCCUGGGUUCCGAGUCCACCUGCUUCUCCACUACAACGGGGUUUUGAGACUCCUGAGAAUCUUGAGGCUGUAGCCUCUCUGAAAAUAACCAGUUAAUCUCUUGCUCAUUUGCCCAAAUACUACGAAGCCCGUUCACUUCCUCCUGUAGCUCCUUCACCUGGCAACACAGCUCUUCAACCCCAGCACACCUUCUGCAAAACAACUGUUUGUCUGCCCCAGCCUCGUGAAGAGGCAUCAGGCACUCCUGGCAACCUGUGACCUGGAGAGCUGCGUCUGCCAUCAUCAGGUCUGUCUGUCCAUCUGCCUGUGACAUGACUGGUACAGUGACUCUUACAGCUACAGGGGAUUGAGCUUUACAUCAUGUCAACACCGUCACUGAGGAUCUUAAACUAAUAUGCUAAUAAGACUGG